GAUGAACGCUGGCGGCAUGCUUUACACAUGCAAGUCGAACGGUAACAGGCCGCAAGGUGCUGACGAGUGGCGAACGGGUGAGUAAUGCAUCGGAACGUGCCCAGUCGUGGGGGAUAACGCGGCGAAAGCUGCGCUAAUACCGCAUACGAUCUAUGGAUGAAAGCGGGGGACCGGAAGGCCUCGUGCGAUUGGAGCGGCCGAUGUCAGGUUAGGUAGUUGGGGGGGUAAAGGCUGACCAAGCCAACGAUCUGUAGCUGGUCUGAGAGGACGACCAGCCACACUGGGAGUGAGAGACGGCCCAGACUCCUACGGGAGGCAGCAGUGGGGAAUUUUGGACAAUGGGCGCAAGCCUGAUCCAGCAAUGCCGCGUGCAGGAAGAAGGCCUUCGGGUUGUAAACUGCUUUUGUACGGAACGAAAAGGCUCUGGUUAAUACCUGGGGCUCAUGACGGUACCGUAAGAAUAAGCACCGGCUAACUACGUGCCAGCCGCCGCGGUAA
rnacentral:rRNA from 1 species